GGGUGAGUAACGCGUGAGGAACCUGCCUCAAAGAGGGGGACAACAGUUGGAAACGACUGCUAAUACCGCAUAAGCCCACGGGUCGGCAUCGACCAGAGGGAAAAGGAGCAAUCCGCUUUGAGAUGGCCUCGCGUCCGAUUAGCUAGUUGGUGAGGUAACGGCCCACCAAGGCAACGAUCGGUAGCCGGACUGAGAGGUUGAACGGCCACAUUGGGACUGAGACACGGCCCAGACUCCUACGGGAGGCAGCAGUGGGGAAUAUUGCACAAUGGGGGAAACCCUGAUGCAGCGACGCCGCGUGGAGGAAGAAGGUCUUCGGAUUGUAAACUCCUGUUGUUGAGGAAGAUAAUGACGGUACUCAACAAGGAAGUGACGGCUAACUACGUGCCAGCAGCCGCGGUAAAACGUAGGUCACAAGCGUUGUCCGGAAUUACUGGGUGUAAAGGGAGCGCAGGCGGGAAGACAAGUUGGAAGUGAAAUCUAUGGGCUCAACCCAUAAACUGCUUUCAAAACUGUUUUUCUUGAGUAGUGCAGAGGUAGGCGGAAUUCCCGGUGUAGCGGUGGAAUGCGUAGAUAUCGGGAGGAACACCAGUGGCGAAGGCGGCCUACUGGGCACCAACUGACGCUGAGGCUCGAAAGUGUGGGUAGCAAACAGGAUUAGAUACCCUGGUAGUCCACACCGUAAACGAUGAUUACUAGGUGUUGGAGGAUUGACCCCUUCAGUGCCGCAG
rnacentral:rRNA from 1 species